rnacentral:rRNA from 1 species
ACGGCUCAGUAACACGUGGACAACCUACCCUCAGCACGGGGAUAAACCCGGGAAACUGGGUAUAAUACCCGAUAGUUCUGGUUAGCUGGAAUGCUAUCAGGACGAAAGCUCCGGCGGCCGAGGAUGGGUCUGCGGCCUAUCAGGUAGUAGUGGGUGUAACGUACCUACUAGCCUACGACGGGUACGGGUUGUGAGAGCAAGAGCCCGGAGAUGGAUUCUGAGACACGAAUCCAGGCCCUACGGGGUGCAGCAGGCGCGAAAACUUUACAAUGCUGGAAACAGCGAUAAGGGAACCUCGAGUGCCAGGUUACAAAUCUGGCUGUCGUGAUGCCUAAAAAGCAUCGCAUAGCAAGGGCCGGGCAAGACCGGUGCCAGCCGCCGCGGUAACACCGGCGGCUCGAGUGGUAACCGUUAUUAUUGGGUCUAAAGGGUCUGUAGCCGGCCGGAUAAGUCUCUUGGGAAAUCUGGCAGCUUAACUGUCAGGCUUUCAGGAGAUACUGUCUGGCUCGAGGCCGGGAGAGGUGAGAGGUACUUCAGGGGUAGGGGUGAAAUCUUGUAAUCCUUGAAGGACCACCAGUGGCGAAGGCGUCUCACCAGAACGGACCUGACGGCAAGGGACGAAAGCUAGGGGCACGAACCGGAUUAGAUACCCGGGUAGUCCUAGCCGUAAACGAUACUCGCUAGGUGUCGGCCACGGUGCGACCGUUGUCGGUGCCGUAGGGAAGCCGUGAAGCGAGCCACCUGGGAAGUACGGCCGCAAGGCUGAAACUUAAAGGAAUUGGCGGGGGAGCAC